rnacentral:rRNA from 1 species
GAAUUUUGGACAAUGGGGGCAACCCUGAUCCAGCCAUCCCGCGUGUGCGAUGAAGGCCUCCGGGUUGUAAAGCACUUUUGGCAGGGCAGAACAGGCUCUGGCUAAUACCUGGAGCUGCUGACGGUACAUGCCGAAUAAGCACAGGCUAACUACGUGCCAUCAGCCGCGGUAAUACGUAGGGUGCAAGCGUUAAUCGGAAUUCCUGGGCGUAAAGCGUGCGCAGGCGGUUUGGCAAGAAGGAUGUGAAAUCCCAGGGCUUAACCUUGGAACUGCAUUCUUAACUGCCAGGCUAGAGUAUGUCAGAGGGGGGUAGAAUUCCACGUGUAGCAGUGAAAUGCGUAGAGACGUGGAGGAAUACCGAUGGCGAAGGCAGCCCCCUGGGAUAAUACUGACGCUCAUGCACGAAAGCGUGGGGAGCAAACA